rnacentral:rRNA from 1 species
GUUCUGUAAGCCUGUGAAGGUGGCCUGUGAGGGUUGCUGGAGGUAUCAGAAGUGCGAAUGCUGACAUAAGUAACGAUAAAGCGGGUGAAAAGCCCGCUCGCCGGAAGACCAAGGGUUCCUGUCCAACGUUAAUCGGGGCAGGGUGAGUCGACCCCUAAGGCGAGGCCGAAAGGCGUAGUCGAUGGGAAACAGGUUAAUAUUCCUGUACUUGGUGUUACUGCGAAGGGGGGACGGAGAAGGCUAUGUUGGCCGGGCGACGGUUGUCCCGGUUUAAGCGUGUAGGCUGGUUUUCCAGGCAAAUCCGGAAAACCAAGGCUGAGGCGUGAUGACGAGGCACUACGGUGCUGAAGCGACAAAUGCCCUGCUUCCAGGAAAAGCCUCUAAGCAUCAGGUAACAUCAAAUCGUACCCCAAACCGACACAGGUGGUCAGGUAGAGAAUACCAAGGCGCUUGAGAGAACUCGGGUGAAGGAACUAGGCAAAAUGGUGCCGUAACUUCGGGAGAAGGCACGCUGAUAUGUAGGUGAAGCGACUUGCUCGUGGAGCUGAAAUCAGUCGAAGAUACCAGCUGGCUGCAACUGUUUAUUAAAAACACAGCACUGUGCAAACACGAAAGUGGACGUAUACGGUGUGACGCCUGCCCGGUGCCGGAAGGUUAAUUGAUGGGGUUAGCGGUAACGCGAAGCUCUUGAUCGAAGCCCCGGUAAACGGCGGCCGUAACUAUAACGGUCCUAAGGUAGCGAAAUUCCUUGUCGGGUAAGUUCCGACCUGCACGAAUGGCGUAAUGAUGGCCAGGCUGUCUCCACCCGAGACUCAGUGAAAUUGAACUCGCUGUGAAGAUGCAGUGUACCCGCGGCAAGACGGAAAGACCCCGUGAACCUUUACUAUAGCUUGACACUGAACAUUGAGCCUUGAUGUGUAGGAUAGGUGGGAGGCUUUGAAGUGUGGACGCCAGUCUGCAUGGAGCCGACCUUGAAAUACCACCCUUUAAUGUUUGAUGUUCUAACGUUGGCCCGUAAUCCGGGUUGCGGACAGUGUCUGGUGGGUAGUUUGACUGGGGCGGUCUCCUCCUAAAGAGUAACGGAGGAGCACGAAGGUUGGCUAAUCCUGGUCGGACAUCAGGAGGUUAGUGCAAUGGCAUAAGCCAGCUUGACUGCGAGCGUGACGGCGCGAGCAGGUGCGAAAGCAGGUCAUAGUGAUCCGGUGGUUCUGAAUGGAAGGGCCAUCGCUCAACGGAUAAAAGGUACUCCGGGGAUAACAGGCUGAUACCGCCCAAGAGUUCAUAUCGACGGCGGUGUUUGGCACCUCGAUGUCGGCUCAUCACAUCCUGGGGCUGAAGUAGGUCCCAAGGGUAUGGCUGUUCGCCAUUUAAAGUGGUACGCGAGCUGGGUUUAGAACGUCGUGAGACAGUUCGGUCCCUAUCUGCCGUGGGCGCUGGAGAACUGAGGGGGGCUGCUCCUAGUACGAGAGGACCGGAGUGGACGCAUCACUGGUGUUCGGGUUGUCAUGCCAAUGGCACUGCCCGGUAGCUAAAUGCGGAAGAGAUAAGUGCUGAAAGCAUCUAAGCACGAAACUUGCCCCGAGAUGAGUUCUCCCUGAGACUUAGAGUCUCCUGAAGGAACGUUGAAGACGACGACGUUGAUAGGCCGGGUGUGUAAGCGCAGCGAUGCGUUGAGCUAACCGGUACUAAUGAACCGUGAGGCUUAACCUU